rnacentral:rRNA from 1 species
UACAGAGGUCCCAAGCGUUGUUCGGAUUCACUGGGCGUAAAGGGUGCGUAGGUGGCAGGGUAAGUUUGAUGUGAAAUCUCCGGGCUUAACCCGGAAACUGCAUUGAAUACUAUCCUGCUCGAGGUUUGGAGGGGGGACUGGAAUUCUCGGUGUAGCAGUGAAAUUCGUAGAUAUUCGGAAGAACACCAGUGGCGAAGGCGACUCGCUGGACAAGUAUUGACGCUGAGGUGCGAAAGCGUGGGGAGCAAACAGG